GCAGUGCGUGGCCGAAUGGUUACGCUGUCCUCUUUGGAAGCGGAUGAUUCUGGGUUCGAUUCCCAUCUGCUGCA
rnacentral:tRNA from 1 species